rnacentral:tRNA from 1 species
GGCCGGUUAGCUCAGUGGUUUGAGCGUGGUGCUGACAAUGAUCGACACCGAGGUUGCGGGUUCGAUUCCCGCUCGGUCC